GUGCAUUCUUUAAAAACCCCCCACAAGCUGCCUGUCGCUUUUUGGGACAAGAAAGAAUGCGAGAGAAAAACCAAGAACUAUCCAAAGCUAAAUGUCUGUGCAGUGACUUCUGGCUAUUUCACCUCUUGAACAUUG